CUGCCAUUCAGUGUCUCUGCCCUCUGCAUAGAGACACUGAACACUUAUAGAGAUUCUUUGAUUCGAUGCAUCUCUGAGGAGAUGCUGAUUGGCCAUGGUUUUGCUGGCUCUGCCCUUAUCUGCCUCCAUGACAGUCUCAGCCAAUCCAAUGGGAAAGCAUUGUGAUUUCCUAAGUAUAACAUUUCUGAUGUCAGCUGGGCAGGCAGAUCUGGGACAGUGCCAGCAGACUGGAAUAAAAGUAAGAUUUUCCUAUAUUUAGGGAGGAUGGGGAGGAGGAGCCUGGAUGGUGUCUUUAACACUAUAGGUCCUAUAGUGUUCCUUUAAGCUUAA